rnacentral:rRNA from 1 species
AGUGAACGCUGGCGGCGUGCCUAAUACAUGCAAGUCGAACGGAGUGGCGCACGGGUGAGUAAUAUAUAGCUACUCUGCCCCUUGCGGGAGGACAACAGUUAGAAAUGACUGCUAAUACUCCAUAGCAAGGGAUGAGACUAUAUCGUAUCAGCUAGUAGGUGGGGUAACGGCCUACCGAGGCUAUGACGCGUUACUGGUCUGAGAGGAUGAUCAGUCAAAUUGAAACUGAGACACGGUCCAAACUCCUACUGGAAGCAGCAGUAGGGAAUAUUGCGCAAUCGGGGAAAGCCUGACGCAGCAUCGCCGCGUGGAGGAUGACACUUUUCGGAGCGUAAACUCCUUUUGUUAGGGAAGCGGUACCUAACGAAUAAGCACCGGCUAACUCCGUGCCAGCCGCCGCGGUAAUUC